rnacentral:rRNA from 1 species
UACGAAGGGGGCUAGCGUUGCUCGGAAUCACUGGGCGUAAAGGGUGCGUAGGCGGGUCUUUAAGUCAGGGGUGAAAUCCCCGGGCUCAACCCGGGAACUGCGUCCGAUACUGGAAGGCUUGAAUCCGGGAGAGGGAUGCGGAAUUCCAGGUGUAGCGGUGAAAUGCGUAGAUAUCUGGAGGAACACCGGUGGCGAAGGCGGCAUCCUGGACCGGUAUUGACGCUGAGGCGCGAAAGCCAGGGGAGCAAACGGG